UACGGAGGGUGCGAGCGUUGUUCGGAAUUACUGGGCGUAAAGCGCGUGUAGGCGGCCUUCUAAGUCUGGUGUGAAAGCCCGGGGCUCACCCCCGGAAGUGCAUUGGAUACUGGGAGGCUGGAGUACCGGAGAGGAGGGUGGGAUUCCUGGUGUAGCGGUGAAAUGCGUAGAUAUCAGGAGGAACACCGGUGGCGAAGGCGGCCCUCUGGACGGAUACUGACGCUGAGACGCGAAAGCGUGGGGAGCAAACAGG
rnacentral:rRNA from 1 species